AGUGGCGGACGGGUGAGUAACGCGUGAGAAUCUGCCUUGGGGUCGGGGACAACCACUGGAAACGGUGGCUAAUACCGGAUAAGCCGAUUGGUGAAAGAUUUAUUGCCCGAAGAGGAGCUCGCGUCUGAUUAGCUAGUUGGUGAGGUAAGAGCUCACCAAGGCAGCGAUCAGUAGCUGGUCUGAGAGGACGAUCAGCCACACUGGGACUGAGACACGGCCCAGACUCCUACGGGAGGCAGCAGUGGGGAAUUUUCCGCAAUGGGCGAAAGCCUGACGGAGCAAGACCGCGUGAGGGAGGAAGGCUCUUGGGUUGUAAACCUCUUUUCUCAGGGAAGAAGCUCUGACGGUACCUGAGGAAUCAGCCUCGGCUAACUCCGUGCCAGCAGCCGUGGUAAUACGGAGGAGGCAAGCGUUAUCCGGAAUUAUUGGGCGUAAAGCGUCCGCAGGUGGCGAUUCAAGUCUGCUGUCAAAGCACGGGGCUUAACUCCGUAAAGGCAGUGGAAACUGAAUAGCUAGAGUGCCGUAGGGGUAGAGGGAAUUCCCGGUGUAGCGGUGAAAUGCGUAGAGAUCGGGAAGAACAUCGGUGGCGAAAGCGCUCUACUGGACGGCAACUGACACUCAGGGACGAAAGCUAGGGGAGCGAAUGGGAUUAGAUACCCC
rnacentral:rRNA from 1 species